UACGUAGGGUGCGAGCGUUGUCCGGAAUUAUUGGGCGUAAAGAGCUCGUAGGCGGUCUGUCGCGUCGAUCGUGAAAACUUGGGGCUUAACCCUGAGCUUGCGGUCGAUACGGGCAUGACUGGAGUUCGGCAGGGGAGACUGGAAUUCCUGGUGUAGCGGUGAAAUGCGCAGAUAUCAGGAGGAACACCGGUGGCGAAGGCGGGUCUCUGGGCCGAUACUGACGCUGAGGAGCGAAAGCGUGGGGAGCAAACAGG
rnacentral:rRNA from 1 species